rnacentral:rRNA from 1 species
GACGAACGCUGGCGGCGUGCUUAACACAUGCAAGUCGAGCGGUAAGGCCCUUUCGGGGUACGACGAGCGGCGAACGGGUGAGUAACACGUGGGUGACCUGCCCUCAGCUCUGGGAUAAGCCUGGGAAACUAGGGUCUAAUACUGGAUAUGACUCCACGGUGCAUGUCGGUGGGGUGGAAAGCCUUGUGCGGCUGAGGAUGGGCCCGCGGCCUAUCAGCUUGUUGGUGGGGUGAGGCCUACCAAGGCGACGACGGGUAGCCGGCCUGAGAGGGCGACCGGCCACACUGGGACUGAGACACGGCCCAGACUCCUACGGGAGGCAGCAGUGGGGAAUAUUGGACAAUGGGCGCAAGCCUGAUCCAGCGAUGCCGCGUGUGUGAAGAAGGCCUGCGGGGUUGUAAAGC